AAUAAGUGACGAAUGGCGGGCUUAUCACAAUGCUUUACCUGAGCUAGGUUACACUCAUUUCACUGUCAAUCACAGUGUGUCAUAUGUCGAUGCCCAAACAGGUGCACAUACUCAACACAUAGAGAGGGCCUGGAGAACAGUUAAGGAAAAUGUGUGGAGACUCAGGGGAAAUCGUACAGAAGAGUUACUGUUAGACCAUCUCAGAGUUAUUGAAUGGCAUGAGUGUUUAGAAACAAGAAAAACACUCCAAGGAUAAAAGUAUGCAGGCGGGGUCCAAAAUUUAAAACUCACUAGGUGCCAAAUAUGACCAAAUUUGACGAUGGAGGAGUAAAAUUAAGAGCAACAUUUGGCUAAUGAAGGUUUGCUCUUCAUUAGCCAUUUCUUGUUAAUUCGCUUAUUGGUGGAUUUUAUCUAAGCUCUUCUGCCGUUCUUGUAUGAUAUUUGUAUAAUAUUGACCCUUCAGAACAUCAAAACAUUAUUUUUAAAGGUCAUAUUUUAUACAUUUACCCUAACCUGGCUUUUCUAAUUAGAAUUUGUUCUUUAUGGUAUCAUUUCAGAUACUGAGGAAACUGUAGCUCCAACAGCAUUUCUGCAUUUUAAGAAGAAAGAGCUUAAACGACGUGAGGCCAAGAAGAAGAAGCAGCACACAGUCACCAAAAAAAUCAGUGACCUGACUAAGGAGAGAGACUCCCUCUGCCAACAAGUUGGUCAAAGUCUAUUGGAACACAAGUGUGUUAUUGCACAGUUAGUUCCUAAAAGAUAAUAGCCUAUUUGUAGCAUCGAUUAACAGCAAACACAUCUGUUCAACUGAUGACCCACAGUGAUGCUGAUUAAUUAAAUAGUAAGUCUUGGGAAAUGCAAAUGUUAAAAGAAUGUAUGCGAGUGGACUUGUAUUAUCAUAGGUAAUAAUUUCAAAUUAACAAUUGAAUUGUGUUUUCUAUCAUGUUGUUCACACAGAUAACAGUGGGACAACUGACUCAUCCUCCUCGGCCAACACAUCUCCUGGUGCAUCUUCUUUUUCUUCGUCCUUCAGUUCAUCCAGCUCCAGUUCAUCCAGCUCCAGUUCAUUCAGCUCCACUUCAUUCAACUCCUCUUCAUCCAGCACCUCAUCAACUGCUUUUUCAGAUCAGAAAUGAAGAAAAAACGCAAGAACAAAAAGAUGCACCGCCACCGGAGUCAAAAAAAAAAGGACAAAAGAAAGAAAAAGAAGACAAAAAGGGAACACAGCAGGCGAAGAGCACGUCAUCCUCAAGAGGUCAUCAAGAGAUACAAGAAAGUCCUAAAGGCUUACAAGAAAGGGAGAAAGCUGAGUUUGGCAUAUCAGAAGGUCGGUGUUGACCGAAACACCAUUGUCAGCAAUGCUCCGAUCUGUGAAUUGGCUGUGGUGGCCCCAAAGACAUAUAAGGAGUUACUGGGUGCCCACACGCCACAGCAACGACUUCAGGACUUUUCAAAAAAAUGUCUGGAAGUGAUAAAUAGUGAUCCAAACCUUUUGAGGGAUGUUGAACAUCAAAAGAAGAAGGGAAAACUGAUUCCUCUGUCCAGGAAAGCUUAGGUAUUGAAACACUGCGGGAUGGUGUCACAGAGUAGUUCAGUGUUGCUCAGGUCCGGUUGACCAAAUAUAUUGAGUUCGAAUUGUUCUACAGCAAUCCUUGUUAUAGAUUCAUUUGUUUUUUUCUGUUCUGCUCAAAAAGUUCUAAAAUUCCGUUUUAUUCUGCUGAUCUGCCAUGUGACGACUCAGUAUGUGUGGAAAAGGAAUAAACAGUGUUCAACACUUAA